rnacentral:rRNA from 1 species
CCUACGGGAGGCAGCAGUAAGGAAUAUUGGUCAAUGGACGCAAGUCUGAACCAGCCAUGCCGCGUGAAGGAUUAAGGUCCUCUGGAUUGUAAACUUCUUUUAUUUGGGACGAAAAAAGGGGCCUUUCUAGGUCAACUGACGGUACCAGAUGAAUAAGCACCGGCUAACUCCGUGCCAGCAGCCGCGGUAAUACGGAGGGUGCAAGCGUUAUCCGGAUUCACUGGGUUUAAAGGGUGCGUAGGCGGGUAGGUAAGUCAGUGGUGAAAUCCUGGAGCUCAACUCCNGAACUGCCC